AAGCUCGUAGUUGAACCUUGGACCUGGCUGAUCUGUCCUCCUAAUCGAGCGUACGGAUUCGGUCGGGUCUUUCCUUCUGGGGAACCCUAUGUCCUUCAUUGGGUGUAGUGGGGAACCAGGACUUUUACCUUGAAAAAAUUAGAGUGUUCAAAGCAGGCCUUUGCUCGAAUACAUUAGCAUGGAAUAAUAGAAUAGGACAUCGGUUCUAUUUUGUUGGUUUCUAGGACCGCUGUAAUGAUUAAUAGGGAUAGUCGGGGGCGUCCGUAUUCAAUUGUCAGAGGUGAAAUUCUUGGAUUUAUUGAAGACGAACUACUGCGAAAGCAUUCGCCAAGGAUGUUUUCAUUAAUCAGUGAACGAAAGUUAGGGGAUCGAAGACGAUCAGAUACCGUCGUAGUCUUAACCAUAAACUAUGCCGACUAGGGAUCGGACGGUGGUUUUUUUAUGCCCCGUUCGG
rnacentral:rRNA from 1 species